rnacentral:rRNA from 1 species
AUUGAACGCUGGCGGCAGGCCUAACACAUGCAAGUCGAGCGGAUGAAGGGAGCUUGCUCCUGGAUUCAGCGGCGGACGGGUGAGUAAUGCCUAGGAAUCUGCCUGGUAGUGGGGGAUAACGUCCGGAAACGGGCGCUAAUACCGCAUACGUCCUGAGGGAGAAAGUGGGGGAUCUUCGGACCUCACGCUAUCAGAUGAGCCUAGGUCGGAUUAGCUAGUUGGUGGGUUAAAGGCCUACCAAGGCGACGAUCCGUAACUGGUCUGAGAGGAUGAUCAGGCACACUGGAACUGAGACACGGCCCAGACACCUACGGGAGGCAGCAGUGGGGAAUAUUGGACAAUGGGCGAGAGCCUGAUACAGCCAUGCCGCGUGUGUGAAGAAGGUCUUCGGAUUGUAAAGCACUUUAAGUUGGGAGGAAGGGCAGUAAGUUAAUACCUUGCUGUUUUGACGUUACCAACAGAAUAAGCACCGGCUAACUUCGUG